rnacentral:rRNA from 1 species
UACGAAGGGUGCGAGCGUUGUUCGGAAUUACUGGGCGUAAAGGGUUUGUAGGCUGAAAUGUAAGUCAAGUGUGAAAUCCCCGAGCUAAACUUGGGACGUGCAUUUGAAACUGUGUUUCUUGAGUAUCGUAGAGGGUGGUGGAAUUGUAGGUGUAGGAGUGACAUCCGUAGAGAUCUGCAGGAACAUCAGAGGCGAAGGCGACCACCUGGCCGAUAACUGACGCUGAGGAACGAAAGCGUGGGGAGCAAACAGGG